GCUGGCGUAGCUCAGUUGGUAGAGCGGCUGCUUUGCAAGCAGCGGGUCGCGGGUUCAAGUCCUGUCGCCAGCUCCA
rnacentral:tRNA from 1 species